GGAGAGCGCCUGCUUUGCACGCAGGAGGUCAGCGGUUCGAUCCCGCUAGUCUCCACCA
rnacentral:tRNA from 4 species